rnacentral:tRNA from 1 species
GAAGGGGUCGCUCAGCUUGGUAGAGCGCCACUCCGGUGGUGGCUGUCUGAAAAUGACUGCUUCAGUGGUUCAAGUCCGCUCCCCUUCA